rnacentral:rRNA from 1 species
UCAGUUCGGAUCGGAGUCUGCAACCCGACUCCGUGAAGCUGGAUUCGCUAGUAAUCGCGCAUCAGCCAUGGCGCGGUGAAUACGUUCCCGGGCCUUGUACACACCGCCCGUCAAGCCAUGGGAGCCGGGGGUGCUUGAAGUGCGUCGCCGUGAGGCGCGCCCUAGAGCAAAACCGGUGACUGGGGCUAAGUCGUAACAAGGUAAC